GAUGAACGCUGGCGGCGUGCCUAAUACAUGCAAGUCGAGCGAACAGACGAGGAGCUUGCUCCUCUGACGUUAGCGGCGGACGGGUGAGUAACACGUGGAUAACCUACCUAUAAGACUGGGAUAACUUCGGGAAACCGGAGCUAAUACCGGAGAAUAUAUUGAACCGCAUGGUUCAAUAGUGAAAGACGGUUUUGCUGUCACUUCUCGAUGGAUCCGCGCCGCAUUAGCUAGUUGGUAAGGUAACGGCUUACCAAGGCAACGAUGCGUGGCCGACCUGAGAGGGGGAUCGGCCACACUGGAACGGGGACACGGACCAGGCGACUACGGGAGGCAGCAGUAGGGAAUCUUCCGCAAUGGGCGAAAGCCUGACGGAGCAACGCCGCGUGAGUGAUGAAGGUCUUCGGAUCGUAAAACUCUGUUAUUAGGGAAGAACAAAUGUGUAAGUAACUAUGCACGUCUUGACGGUACCUAAUCAGAAAGCCACGGCUAACUACGUG
rnacentral:rRNA from 1 species